AGUAACGGCGAGUGAAGCGGCAACAGCUCAAAUUUGAAAUCUGGCCUCUUUGGGGUCCGAGUUGUAAUUUGUAGAGGAUGUUUCGGGUACCGCCUCGGUUUAAAUUUCUUGGAACAGAAUGUCAAAGAGGGUGAGAAUCCCGUCUUGGACCGGCGGUAGGGCCCAUGUGAAACUCCUUCGACGAGUCGAGUUGUUUGGGAG
rnacentral:rRNA from 1 species